CCCGGUAGCUAAAUGCGGAAGAGAUAAGUGCUGAAAGCAUCUAAGCACGAAACUUGCCCCGAGAUGAGUUCUCCCUGACCCUUUAAGGGUCCUGAAGGAACGUUGAAGACGACGACGUUGAUAGGCCGGGUGUGUAAGCGCAGCGAUGCGUUGAGCUAACCGGUACUAAUGAACCGUGAGGCUUAACCUU
rnacentral:rRNA from 2 species